AAUUCUUUAGCAAACUUAAUGCAUUAAGCUUAGAACUUAAAGACAAGAACGACCUUCUUAAGAAUUA
rnacentral:tRNA from 1 species